rnacentral:lncRNA from 1 species
AAGGCAGGUCUAGUGGCAGUGGGGCUGGCUCGGCGGAUCCCUGUCAGUCACUUUGCUCUCGUACUAAGUGUACUUUUGUGCCAUUUAAGCAGCCGAUGGUGUCAUUGGCGUUGAGAGUGCAGCUUCUACAGCUCACACUGAAGGCUUUGGGGACCCAGGAGGGCGCGAGUUGUUUUAAGAUACAUGGCCAUUUGACAUACCCGUGUUAAGUUCAAUCUUGCUACAAAAGAAGGCCAUUUGUACUUCCUGACCCUGAAAGCAAGAACUGUGUCUCUUUAAAUCUACUGAGGAAGAUAUUCCUUCUGGCCCACAGGAUGCCAAAAUGACUCGAUGAUUUAUUUAUGCAGCGCUUGGCAGCCCAUCGUCCAGAUUGUGGCUGAAGCUGAAUUUUAUGAGCCUUCCCCCAAAAAACUGGAAGAUUUUGCCAUCUUACAAGCCCUCUUCCUUAAGAAAGAGAAAGAUGAGCAGUAAAUAUCCUCUGGCACGUCGGCACAUUCUGUCUCUUCGUGUUUUCAUGAAGUGUUCAUGACAUGGGAUUGAAGUACUCCUUUGUGUUCAGUAUUUGAUAUCAAAUCCUUUACAAAGAAAUAUCUUGAAAGAGCCAGGUUGGUCCAGACCUGCUGGCAAGCCUGCAGCCCCAUCCACCGAUUACCUAAUACACUUGUGACAUCUGCUUUCCUUGUUGUGAGAAAACACAGGGAGGAAGUGUGUGCAGAAGGGGUGAUGCCUGACCUACACACCCGGCAAUACCAGAAGUUUCACUACCUUCCGUUGGUAAACGCUUCAGGGAAGGCUCUGCAACCCUGAACGUGUUUUAUUGUAGAACCUCACUAGGAAACUCAUCAGUAUUUAUUAAAGAUGAAUUAAAAGAAGGAGGAAAAGGAAAAACGGGAUAGUGAAGAGAAUAGAUGAAUGAAAAAGAAGCAAAGGGAAGAGAGGAGGAAGGGACAAAGAGGGCAAGAAAAGAGAAAAGAGAGAUGAGAGACCAGGACUUCCCACCUAACCUUACCAAACUUUUUCAGUUGAGCUUUUAAUGGGAUACUAUUCCCAAGAGGAAAUUCAAAAAGAAAA